GCUAACUGACUGAUGUUAAAUAGCCGCAGUAUUUUAACUGUGCAAAGGUAGCAUAAUCAUUAGUCUUUUAAUUGAAGGCUUGUAUGAAUGGUUGGACGAGAUAUUAACUGUCUCAUUUUGGAAAAGUAGAAUUUUAUUUUUCAGUCAAAAAGCUGAAAUUAUUAUAAAAGACGAGAAGACCCUAUGGAUCUUUAUAUUGGUUUUAUUAUAAUUAUUUGGAUUAAUUUAAUUUUAAUAUUUACUUGUAUUUUGUUGGGGUGACAUUAAGAUUUAUUUAACUCUUAAUAUUUAUUUACAUUGAUGUAUGAAAUUAUAGUGAUCCAGUUUUAUUGAUUAAAAAAUUAAGUUACCCUAGGGAUAACAGCGUAAUUUUUCUAGAGAGUUCAUAUCGAUAGGAAAGAUUGCGACCUCGAUGUUGGAUUAAGAUUAAUAAUGGGUGUAGAAGUUCAUUAUAUUAAGUCUGUUCGACUUUUAAUUUCUUCGUGAUCUGAGUUCAGACCGG
rnacentral:rRNA from 1 species